UCCUACGGGAGGCAGCAGUGGGGAAUAUUGGACAAUGGGGGGAACCCUGAUCCAGCCAUGCCGCGUGUGUGAAGAAGGCCUUAUGGUUGUAAAGCACUUUAAGCGAGGAGGAGGCUAUUGAAGUUAAUACUCUUGAAGAGUGACGUACUCGCAGAAA
rnacentral:rRNA from 1 species